rnacentral:tmRNA from 2 species
GGGGCUGAUUCUGGAUUCGACGGGAUUCGCGAAACCCAAGGUGCAUGCCGAGGUGCGGUGGCCUCGUAAAAAACCGCAAAAAAAUAGUUGCAAACGACGAAAACUACGCACUAGCAGCUUAAUAACCUGCUUAGAGCCCUCUCUCCCUAGCCUCCGCUCUUAGGACGGGGAUCAAGAGAGGUCAAACCUAAAAGAGCUCGUGUGGAAACCUUGCCUGGGGUGGAAGCAUUAAAACUAAUCAGGAUAGUUUGUCAGUAGCGUGUCCAUCCGCAGCUGGCCGGCGAAUGUAAUGAUUGGACUAAGCAUGUAGUGCCGACGGUGUAGUAAUUUCGGACGGGGGUUCAAAUCCCCCCAGCUCCACCA